UGAAAAGCAAUUGAUUAUAUAUGUUCCCAUGGUCUGAAGCUAUAGUCGGAGAAGCAGCCAAGCCAACAAACAAAAUAAAUAUAAAAAAAAAAAAGGCAAGAGAUAAUGUUCUUUGUCUUCAACGUCGGCACAAAGUCAUUUACAGGCAAACGUUCUUCGUCUUCAACACAGAGAUCUGAAGAUCUGAAAAUUUGUGGAUGUCUUCUGAAAAAGAGGAAAAUUUGUGGAUGUAUUCUCCCCUCAAAGUUUUUCACGGGCUGAAAAGAGGAAAGACAAAAUAUGUUCAAUCAUAACAAAGGUGUUCAGGCACCAGACCGCAGCUAGGAGCGUCGAGGCUAACUCCAGUUUUGUCAAGCCAGC